GCGGCCGGCUCUGAGCAGCCCCUGCCGGGAUGGCAACAGUAGCUCUAGGGGGAAACACCAUGGGCCCUGAGUGUCUCUUCUCCACCCAGACCAAGGAACUGGGACCACAUCAGGGCCCCUCAGAAGGCACUGGGGAUUGGAGCAGUAAGGAGCCUGAGGAAGACCAGGAGGAAACAGGGACAGUCCCAGCUGGCUACUCCUACCAGCCCCUAAAUCAAGAUCCUGAACAAGAGGAGGUGGAACUGGCACCCGUGGGGGAUGGUGAAGACGUAGUUGCUGACAUCCAGGAUCGCAUCCAGGCCCUAGGGCUGUGUUUGCCAGACCCCCCAUUGGAGAGUGAGGAUGAAGAUGAGGAGGGAGCUAAAGCAUUGAGCAAUCACAGCUCUAUUCCCAUAGACCCAGGACAUGUAGAGCUGGUGAAAAGGACGAUGGCUGGAGUGAGCCUUCCUGCGCCAGGGGUUCCUGCCUGGGCUCGGGAGAUAUCGGAUGCCCAGUGGGAAGACGUGGUACAGAAAGCCCUCCAAACCUGGCAGGCAUCCCCUCCUUGGAAGUGACCACACUGAGAGUUGCCUUAUCUCCCUACAUUCCUGCCCAGAACCAGCAUAGGACUGAACACAUCCCUGGUUGUAAUGUUCAUCUCCAUCCUCCCCAUCUCCCUUUCCACAUCAAGGCAAAAUCAGGCUACUUCUCAGAGACCCACUUUAUUCAGUCCUGUACAUAUGGGGACAUUGGCCCAAGCCCUCCUUAGCAUGUAUCACUCUGUGGAGAAUAAAGCACCCUGUGUACAUAGCCAAAAAAA